GUUGUGUGUGUGUGUGUGUGUGUGUGUGUGUGUUGACGUGUGUGUGUGUGUGAGUGUAUAUGUGAGAGAAUAUGAAAGUUGGUGACAAGAAAAAAAGACAGGCGCCGACAGGAAUUAAGUAGCCAACGUAUAACACCACCAGCUAUAGCUUCUC